UAGGGUACCAAACAUCAAGUUCAAUGUGGCUAAGGUGUUGCAGUCAAUUAUUCCGAUAGUUGAUCAAUCGGUGGUGGAGAAAACUAUUCGUCCUUGUUUGCUUGAGCUUAGUGAGGACUCACACCUCAGUACAACAUAAACCUGAUGUUUAUGCCCAAACAAAUAUCUAUGACGAGCAUCAGCGGUCACAAUGGGCAUGGUGUGUGUGUGUUGUGUUGUGUUGAAUAACCGAAAAAGGAUGACUCUGAAGUGACUUUGAAUGUAAACUUUCAUAUUUUCAUUUUUUUU